AGUCACGGUGGGCAGCACGGGCCUGCAAGAUGAGUGCUUCAGCCCCCAGGUCCAGGAUGGGCUGUGAAAAGGCCUGGCUUCGAGCCACCAGGUUACGGAUCAGCAUGCAGGCCUGUUUCUGGGAGGAAGAACUGAAGGGCCAGGACGCACAGGGCUGCACAGCUCUGCUCGCACACCUGUGGGCGUCAUGGGAAUGGCUGAGACAGUCAGAUGCCCUGGCGGGCCCCCAUAGUUAAUCCCCCAGAUAAGCCUUUUUCACACAUGGGAGCCACAACAACUGAGGUCAACGGUGCUGUGGCAUGAGAAGGGGCUCGUUCAACUUCAAGGCAAUAGGAACCAAUUUUCUAGUGAUAUCAACUGAAAAUACCUUGAGGAAAUAACACCCUGAGGAAGUGAACACCCUGAACACCAACUGUGGUCCCUUAGUCCCAUUUCCCACCAAAGAAGACAGGGCUCCUGGAGGAAUGGCUGAUUAUAGGACUGAGAAGACAACAGGCCAGAGGAGACGAGCCAGGAACAUCUUGUCAGACCAGAAAGCAAGGAAGCUUCUAAAAACAGACAGGGUCACGUCAAAGGACUUGGGAGCAAACCCUAAGAGUCGUCAAUGGGCCAAAGAUGUGACAGGUGAGCAGUAAAAGAAAACAAAAUAAAAAACAGUAUUUUGAUAUCAAAAUCAAAAUCUGUGCAUUCAUAAUAGUACUAAAACACACCCUGCUCGUUCUGUUGAAAACCAGCAAAUAAAGAAUCCAACAUUUAUCCUAUGUCCCUCCUAUAAUUACCAGGUUAGAAAGAGAGGAUGAGGAAAAGUUCUGCUUUGUAGAUGAACUCCAACUAAUUAUCCACAAGACAGAUUUAGACAACCAUCCACACAGGCUGCAAAACUGUGAGGAGCGAAACUGAUAAGGAACCUGACAACGAGUGGGUAGUACCUGGGUCCACUGUGUGAUUUCACAUCACCAGAAGAGAAACCCAUCACCACUGCCCGUGGACAAGAAUGAAAAGCACCUAUGAAGGUAUCUUGCCAAAAACUCAAACCCAAUAUGACCAUGCAUCCAAUGGAACUUUCUGUGAUGAUGGAAUAUUCUAUAUCUGUGCCAUCCAUGUGAGUUCCAGCAGCUGAAACGUAGCUAGUGUGACUGAGGCACUGUGUAUGUUUUAACUUCAAUUGUAAUUCAUUUUAAUGUAAACAUCCAUCUGUGACUCGUGGCUAUCAUACUGGACAGGCAAGGAUCUAGACCUAAUGAACAGUUUGUAGGAAAUCAAGGUCAGAGGGACACGUCAACCAAUACUAUGGUGAUGUGGGUCUGCAAAAAUCACCAUUCAGGAGGGGGGUAACUUAACUACAGGACAAACACCUGGUGUUGUCAACAAAUAAAUCAUGACAACCAUGAAAAGGACGGGGCGUCCAUCAGCAAGUGAAUGGACAAACAGAAUGUAGUAUGUCUGAACAAGGGAAUAUUACUCGGCCAUAAAAAGGAAGCACUGACACACACUACAACGUGGAAGAACCUUGAAAACACCAUGCUAAGUGAAAGAGGCCAGACACAGGUCCACACACAUAGUGUGUGAUUCCAUUUAUAUGAAAUGUCCAGAACAGGCAAAUCCAUAGGAACAGA